UCCCCCUUUGCCGCCACGCGCCCCACCUCCUGCUGUUCUUCUCUCCGCCCCCUCGAAGCCCCAGGAGCCGGGCUGGGGAGCGGAGCGGGGAUCUCUUCGUCUCCCACCUUUCCGCGCCGCGCCCACCAUCAUCUCGUUUCCCCGAUCCCCACUCCACCGCGCGCCGACGAGAGCUCACCAGCCAUGGGCGGCGCGGCUUCCUCUUCCUCCGCCGCCGGCAGCACCUCCGCGGAGGCGCACGAGCAGGAGUCCCUGGCCGCCGCCUCCCUCGCGCUCCCUCUCCUCCGCGCCGUCUUCUCCCGCUCCUCGGACCUGCCCUCCAUCCUCUCCCCGCCGCCCGCUGCCUUCCGGCCCGCCUCCUCCCCUCCCGAACCGCCGCCGCGCUUCCACGACCUCCUCGCUCGCCUCGGCCCGGCCAUCGCCUCCCUCUUCUUCGACCACGGCGCCGCCGCCGGGGGGGACUGGCUCGGGUUCCUCAGGGGGUUCAACGCCUGCUGCGCGCGCGCCCGGGCCUCGCUCCCGGUCGCGCAGCUCCUCCGCGUGUACGCCGCGGCCUGCGCCGGCGCGGGGGCCCCCUGCGGCGUGCAGUUCCAGCCGAGCGAGGACGAGGACGACGACGGCGGGAAGGUCGUGGGGGAGCUCGCGCCCGGGGAGAUCGCCGUGCUGCUGUGGAUGUGCUGGGUCAUGGCGUGGAGCGGUUCCUCGGCUCCGAGGGUCUCUUCGGGCGAGGAAGUGGGGAAAGGGGAACCGACAGUGGUGCUCCCGGACGUGACGCACCUGGUGCUGUCGGCGCUCGUGUCCGCCGGCGCCGUCGCGGAUGACGCGGGGGUUUGGGGCUGGGAGGUUUCAGGCGCUGCGAAGGGGGUGAAGGUGCAGGAGUUCACGUCGUGGGUGAUUUCCACAGUCCCCGGGCUUGGCAACUGCCUCUCGCGGUAUGUGCAGGACAGAUUCCGGGCGUGCCAGGUUGAUCCAGUGAAGGAGAGCUCUGUUUCAACUGGCAUCACGACUUCUGAUACUUCUGAUGUGUAUGUAUUAACACGUGGGAGGGCAUGGGCGAUCUCUCUCAGUCUCAGAAACAAAUUGAGUGAGAAGUUUUUGUCAGCAUCUGUCUUUGGAAUGGACCCAGAAGAUCUUCUUUACAGGUCAUCAGUUAAUGGAAAAGGCCUGAGCCGGUUUUGGUCUUGUGUGGAGGGGUACAAGGGACCAGCACUAAUUCUACUCUCAGCAUUCUCAAAUGGUGGUGGUGCAAAUGUUGAUGCUGAUCGAAGAUGGGGAAUUGGUGCAUUAACUGAAGAGGGGUUUGAGAAUAAAGACACUUUCUACGGUAGCUCUGGGUACCUGUGUUCCACAUAUCCAAUAUUCCGCAUGCUCCUGCCAUCUGGUAUGGAGAAGAACAUCAUGUAUUGCCACCUACAUACUCAGAUAAGGACGUAUGAGGCAAAGCCAAAGCCUCUUGGCUUGGCAUUCGGCGGAUCAAUUGGAAAUGAGAGGAUUUUUAUAGACGAUGACUUUUCAAAAGUUACAAUACGCCAUCAUGCUGUUGACAAGACUUACCAGCAUGGUUCUCUCAUUCCCAAUCAGGGUUAUUUACCUGUUGAGGCCUCAAUACUUGAUGUCGAAGUAUGGGGACUUGGUGGACAAAAAACAAAGAGGCAACAGGAUGUGUACAAGAAGAGGGAGGAUAUUUUCUCAGGGCAGCGCAGAAAGAUUGAUCUAGCAGCUUUUGGCAACUGGGAAGACUCUCCAGAGAAAAUGAUGAUGGAUAUGGUCUCUGACCCAAACAAGGUUCAACGGGAAGAGCGUUGAUUUAGUUUGACAGCAAACUCUGCUAGUGCUCAGCAGCUGUCCAUCAGAAGUGGACAUGGAAAUUGACAAGAGGUAUAUAGAGGUUCGUGCAAGUAUUUGCCCAUUUGGUGUCAAGGCAUUUGGCGGGGCCACAUGUAAUUUAGGUUUUGAAUUGAGCAGAGACUUGUACAGUGCACAAUUGCUAUAAUAGCAUCGAGUUUCUUUCUCAUCUUCUCAUUGUCUUAUGGGAAGCAAGAGCAAACCAUUGUAUAUCUGUAUUGUAAAUUAGAUUCAUGUUGCUGCGUGCCUAUCUCAGACUUCUGUUAGAGAACUCCAUGCCUACAUCUCUGAUUCUAUGCAGCUCAGCGGCAGCAUUUCUCAUGUUCAUUCUUUCGGACGGGGUUUCCUUUGAGCACAAGAUGCCGAUUCUUAUAACAGAAGCUAGGCAAGCCAAUACAUUGUCCAACCUUGUUUGAUCUUUAUCAUAUGGCUGCAUCUGUAACAGAGCUGGGUCAAUGAUUUCUGAUAUCUUGUCAGGAUAUGCCAUCUCAGCAAACAAGUGCAGACUCAAGCCUUCUCUGAACAUAUCAUCAGUUGGUGCCCUCCCCGUGAACAUCUCUAGCAGAGUAAUCCCAAAGCUGUAAGCAUCACCAGCAAUCAAUACUUUCCCUCCUGAUCCAUAUUCUGCAAGGAAGAUUGCAUGUCAAUAAUAUCUUAGAAUCAAAAUACAGAAGUGUGCAAAAUCAAGGUGGAUCUGUUUUUAAAGAAAUGAGAAUACUGUAACUACCUGGAGCAACAUAUCCUAUAGUUCCUCUUAUCCCAAAAGAAUUCCUGGAAUUCAAUCUGGAUUGAUCGAUAUGCUCGCCAACCAGCUUUGAAAGCCCAAAGUCAGCAACAUAAGCAGUCCAUUCACUACCAAGGAGGAUGUUGCCAGGCUUCAAAUCACAGUGGAUUACUGGUGGCCGACUAUUAUUGUGAAGAUAGUCUAGCGCAUCUGCAACAUCAAUCACUAUGUUCAACAGGUGGACGGUACUCAACUUGUGCCACUGCUCGUCUGUUCCUGGAUGCAACCAUCUAUCAAGGCUCAAGUUAGGCAUGAACUCGAACACGAGAGCUCGGAAUUCAUUGCCACUGGGGUCAAUGCUAGAACAGCAUGUGAUAAUGUUUAUCAAGUUCCUAUGUUUAGCUCGUCUGAGAGCCAUACAUUCUGCCAAGAAACUUCUGGAAGAACCAGUUUCGUGAAGAGUGAACACUUUAACAGCUACAACACCAUUUUUGACAGAUGGAAGAGACAUGUUUCCUUUAUACACCGAGCCAUAUUUUCCUGCACCUAUCAGAUUGUCAGGUGCAAAGCCAUCUGUAGCUUGAAAUAUUUCAAGGUAUGAAACUCUUGGAUGCCUUUCUGGAAAAAGAACUCCGGAAUAGUUGUCAACCCACACAUGUGGGCUUGAAAUUUUCAUCAUAUGCAUUGUUAUUUUCCGCUUGAAGAGAAGGAGUGCAGACAAUAACAGGCAUAAGCAUAUAGCAAUGCCGGCAACUGGAAGUAGUAUACUAAGCAGCAGUAGGUGUCUCUGUUUAUGUGGCUUUACCUGACAAGGAGGCAAUUUCAGCUCUGGAAUGCCACCACAAAGGCCAUCAUUACCAAUUAUUGAGAACCCACUCAUGUUGGCGAACACGCCGCUUAGAGGCACCUCGCCAUGCAGGUGGUUAAAGGAGAGAUCUAGUUCAUUCAAAGCACUUGAGUUCUGAAAAAGUUGUAAAAUGCCCCCAGACAGGUUAUUUCGUGCCAGAUAUAGCUGUUGCAACCCAUUGAUUUUGGCCAACUCUUGUGGAAUACUGCCAGACAGAGCAUUCCUUGUGAGAUUUAGUUUGCUCAGGCCUCUCAAA